rnacentral:rRNA from 2 species
ACAACCCUAGAGAUAGGGCUUUCCCCUUCGGGGGACAGAGUGACAGGUGGUGCAUGGUUGUCGUCAGCUCGUGUCGUGAGAUGUUGGGUUAAGUCCCGCAACGAGCGCAACCCUUGAUCUUAGUUGCCAGCAUUCAGUUGGGCACUCUAAGGUGACUGCCGGUGACAAACCGGAGGAAGGUGGGGAUGACGUCAAAUCAUCAUGCCCCUUAUGACCUGGGCUACACACGUGCUACAAUGGAUGGUACAAAGGGCUGCAAACCUGCGAAGGUAAGCGAAUCCCAUAAAGCCAUUCUCAGUUCGGAUUGCAGGCUGCAACUCGCCUGCAUGAAGCCGGAAUCGCUAGUAAUCGCGGAUCAGCAUGCCGCGGUGAAUACGUUCCCGGGCCUUGUACACACCGCCCGUCACACCACGAGAGUUUGUAACACCCGAAGUCGGUGAG